UACGAAGGGGGCUAGCGUUGUUCGGAAUUACUGGGCGUAACGCGCGCGCAGGUGGUCUUUCAAGUCAGUGGUGAAAGCCCGGAGCUCAACUCCGGAAAUGCCAUUGAAACUGUGAGACUUGAGGACGAGAGAGGUGAGUGGAAUUCCCAGUGUAGAGGUGAAAUUCGUAGAUAUUGGGAAGAACACCGGUGGCGAAGGCGACUCACUGGACACGUAUUGACGCUGAGGUGCGAAAGCGUGGGGAGCAAACAGG
rnacentral:rRNA from 1 species